CAUGCAGGAAGAAGGCCUUCGGGUUGUAAACUGCUUUUGUACGGAAAGAAAAGGUUUGGCCUAAUAAGCUGAGCUCAUGACGGUACCGUAAGAAUAAGCACCGGCUAACUACGUGCCAGCAGCCGCGGUAAUACGUAGGGUGCGAGCGUUAAUCGGAAUUACUGGGCGUAAAGCGUGCGCAGGCGGUUAUGUAAGUCAGAUGUGAAAUCCCCGGGCUCAACCUGGGAACUGCAUUAGUGACUGCAUAGCUGGAGUACGGGCAGAGGGGGAUGGAAUUCCGCGUGUAGCAGUGAAAUGGGUUUUUAUGCGGAGGAACACCGAUGGCGAAAAGCAAUCCCCUCG
rnacentral:rRNA from 1 species